GAUCAUGCUCAGGAUGAACGCUAGCUACAGGCUUAACACAUGCAAGUCGAGGGGAAACGACAUCGAAAGCUUGCUUUUGAUGGGCGUCGACCGGCGCACGGGUGAGUAACGCGUAUCCAACCUGCCCAUCACUUGGGAAUAACCUUGCGAAAGUAAGACUAAUGCCCAAUGANAUCCCACGAAGGCAUCCGAAUGGGAUUAAAGAUUUAUCGGUGAUGGAUGGGGAUGCGU
rnacentral:rRNA from 1 species